rnacentral:rRNA from 1 species
AACGAACGCUGGCGGCAUGCCUAACACAUGCAAGUCGAACGAUGGUCUUCGGAUCAUAGUGGCGCACGGGUGCGUAACGCGUGGGAAUCUGCCCUUGGGUUCGGAAUAACAGUUGGAAACGACUGCUAAUACCGGAUGAUGUCGAUAAGACCAAAGAUUUAUCGCCCGAGGAUGAGCCCGCGUCGGAUUAGCUAGUUGGUGGGGUAAAGGCCUACCAAGGCGACGAUCCGUAGCUGGUCUGACAGGAUGAUCAGCCACACUGGCACUGAGACACGGCCCAGACUCCUACGGGAGGCAGCAGUGGGGAAUAUUGGACAAUGGGCGCAAGCCUGAUCCAGCAAUGCCGCGUGAGUGAUGAAGGCCUUAGGGUUGUAAAGCUCUUUUACCCGGGAAGAUAAUGACUGUACCGGGAGAAUAAGCCCCGGCUAACUCCGUG